GGCGCUUGAGGCUUUCGCCUCAGGGCAGGAUUGAGUUUUACCGUUGUGCUGAGGCAGAAAGAAGAAAGCCCCGAAGGUAAUGUAAUCACCCACGAGGCUAUCUGCAUGCUUAGACAACAUCAGGUUAGUCUCUUACCCGCCGAAAGGCAAGGAGAA
rnacentral:antisense_RNA from 1 species